CGUCCACCCACAACAUGAGUUGAACAUUAUAUAUAUAAAUAAGGUGAACUAGCGAUCAAUAAUCAGUAUAGUUGUAUACUAGACUUGGACUUGGAUGAUUUAAACAACUGGUGUUAAAGAGAUUUUAAUCACUCAAUACGAGUGAGAGAAUUCUUUUUUCUAAGAUUUCAAAGCAAAGAAGAAUCUUGAAUUAAGGGACCUCCACGUGGUAAGAUUUGGACAACAGCGAUCAAUCGUUCGUCUGGCUAACACCUUAAGUUAUCAUGAUGUAUAGUAAAGUUGAGUAUAUUCACGUCGUCAUAAUGUGCAUCUCCGUUUUUGAUAUACGCGAAGCAGCAAUACAAUGGAAGAUAACAACAAAACCUGUGGUUAUUGGAAAGGAGGCUAUACUAGCUUGUAGCGGAUACAAAUGUCCAUCUAACAAAACCAGAAAAUGGCUUGGUGGGAAAAACUAUAACCUUCUUUGCUUCGAUUCCCAAUCAAAAAAUAUCUCAAAGUAUGAAAUGAGGUCAUAUGGAACAGAUUUUGAGCUCAUAAUAAAAUCCUUGAGCUUCAGCGAUCUGAACUGUGAAUACACAUGCGCCUGUGGAUUCCACCAAUACACCAAAAUGUUACAGUUAGACGAGGAAGAAGUAAUUUACCCACCAGUUGUACAUGACCACUCUCGCACACACUCACAGGAAGACCUUAAAUUCCAAAUAAAUGUGUCAAUGGAAGUUUAUCCGUUACCAACAUGCACAAUAGUCUCAAAGGUUAGCGUUUUGCUUAUAAACAUAUCAGUGGUAAAGAGACCUGAAGGUGAGCUAAAGCUUUUUGAAGUUUUAGUACAGACCACAAUAGUGACAGAUGUUGCUUCCUGUGGAGAAAAUCUAACGCUAGAUUGCGAAGUAGGAUCGAUUCAUUACCAACAUGUUCUCAAGAAGCCAUAUUCAUGCAAAGAUCAUAGAGAACAAAGUAAUCCACAGUAUUUCAUAAUGGUUGGUAUAAUACUUGCACUAGUGCUAGUCCUAGUGAUUGUUUCGACUGUGAUCCUAAUGAAAAAAAGAUUAGGGAAAAACAAUUUUUACAAAACAGAGAGAUAUGGGCAGUGGAUAGUAUACAGUUGUAUAUGAAACAAACAAAAACAAUUCUUCUAUCAAGAAGUAGACGUAUAUUGAAGAAGGAUUACAUGAUAUUUUGUCACAUGAUUUUUACCAGCUGGAGUUAAAGGCAUAACAUUUGUGUAUAUAUGUAUUACUCUAGUAAAAUGAGAAACUCAAACUGUAUAAGCAAUUGCAUAGUUGAACACUUGCUGUGACGGAGGUCAGAGAUCAGAGGUCGAACCAGAAAUAUACGGAUACAAGUAUUUAAUAGAAAAAUGCUUUUUAUUUAGUUUCAUUCAGUUUAUUACUUAAUGUUCGUAUUGCUCAGUCUUUACUUUUUUAUGUUGUGUUUUUUAUUUUAAGUUUUUUAUCUAUGGCGUUAUCAGUUUUUUUUCCUACUAUUGAAUUUGAAUGUCCUUUUGGUAUCUUUCGCCUCUCUUUUAAUAAAAUUGAGAAUGGAAAUGGGGAAUGUGUCAAGGGGCAACAACCCAACCAAAGAGCAGAAAACAACCCAAGGCCACCAAUGGGUCUUCAACACAGCGCGAAAAUCUCGCACCCUGAGGCGGGCUUCAGCUGGCCCCUACAAAAAGUGUACUAGUUCAGUAAAAAUUGACGUCACACUGAACUCCAAAACAUAUAAAUGAACAUAAAUUAAACAAAACAUACAAGACUAACAAAGGCAAGAGGCUCCUGAUUUAGGACUGACACAAAAAUGCGACGGAUUUAAACAUAUUUUGUGAGAUCUCAACUCUCCCCUUAUACCUCUAGCCAAUGUAGAAUAAACAAAAACACGGCAAUACGCACAGUAAUACUCAGCUUAAACGGAGUCCGAGUCUGAUGUCAUAAAAGGUAACAGGAGAAACUAAGCAAAAUGACAAUGAUACAUAAAUUAACAAAGUACUACUAGGAGCUACUGGCAUGCCAGCUCCAGACAUCAAUUAAACUGAUUGAAAGGUUUCAUCAUAUGAAAAUCAAGCAUAAUCCUUCCCAAUAGGGGUUUUGUAUCAUACCAUCAAAAAAAAAAGAAGAACAUAACCCGUAUCAUGCCAACAACUGGUUUUAGAAUAAAUGUGUUUAUUUCCGAUGCAUAUACAUUAUGAGUGAAUCAAUAUUAAUUCUAAAAUAUGCCAACUAUAAUGACCUGACGACAGUUUCGUAACUACAUCCCUUUUGAAUAAGUCUGUUUAAAGAUUUGGUUAGCUUUUGAGGUGAAUGACGACAUUUUUUAGAUUUGUAUAGAAUAUGACCAUUAAAGAUUGAAUAUGAAAUACCUGAACGUAUAACAUGUCAUGUUGAUUUAUAUUUACGAAUGAUGUCCUUGUAUCGAUGAUAAAUUUAGUCCAUGAUUGACUAGAUGUGAUAUCGAAAACCUUGGUGUAAUAAUUUUUCAGUAAUACAGAGAUUUCUUUCGUUAAAAUCAAAUACGUUGUUACAUACACGAGCGAAUCGAACAAGUUGAGAUACAUAAACACCAUAAGAUGGUGACAAAGGAAUGUCACCAUCUAAAAAUGGAUAAUUAACAAUAGGAAAUGAAAAAUCAUCUCUUUUAUCGUAAAUAUUGGUAUUAAGCUAGUCUUAAAUAUAUAGAUAUCAAGAUCCAGGAAAAGGGCAGUGUUCAUUUUUUUUAUUAACUUUAUUUAAAGUCAGUUCAUUGGGAUAAAUCUCUUUAGUUUUCAUACUGAAGUCGUCAUUAUUGAGAGCUAAACUAUCAUCAAAAUAUCUAUAAGUGUUAUUAAAUUUUUGUAUCAGAUGUUGUUUGAUGGGUUUUUGCUGAUUUUAGUCAUAAAUGUUAACCUAUAACAAUACAGAAACAGGUGCGAAAUAAGGAAUUCCGAUAAUUUGACGAUAUACAGAAUCUCCAUAGCGAAUAAAAAUGUUAUCUAGUAAAAAUUCAAGUACAGUUACAUGCAUCUUAUUGAGACAGGUCCAAUUUACCUAGUUCUUUUGUUUGUUGAUACUAAAAAUGACCUAAAAGAGUUUAGAUAUAUAUAUUUGCAUUCUGACUUUUUGAAUGCCCAUUUAAUUAGGUGUUAGCAUUUUUCUUAAUGAGUUUAUGAGGCAAAGUGGUAUAUAGAGUAGAAAAAUCAAAACUUUGAACAGAUUCGAAUUCAACAAUAUAAGCAUGCACUUUAUCAAGUACUUCCAACGAAUUUUUAAUGUAUGUACGCUAUAUUGUAACAACUAUUUUAUAUACAAUUAUUGCUUAACUUUCAUAUUCAAAACGAAAAGACACGUUUCUCUAUCACUAUUGAUAGCGUGGGAUACUUCAAAUAUUUCUCCAGACACUAUCUAGAAUAAGGACAUUAGCUUAUUCUACAUUUUGACUCUUUUCCCUAACACAGUCUUUCUUAAUCGUGAAAAUCUGAAUUUUUUACGUAUGGGGCGAUACAACUAUUACUUAUUUUUUAUUGACUUCUAUUGACUUUUAUUGAAUUAAUGAGAAAAUGCUCGUAAAUGUUUUGAUAAUCAUGUGAUAAUGGCCUACCUACGUCAAAAAUAUUAUUUGUGUCAAGAUACAGGGCAUAUAAACAAAUAUGAUACUGUAAAUUUAGAAAUUAUUGCGAUGUUUUUAUUAUUGCAAAAAAUGGGACAGGGUUAUAAUCGCAAUAAUUUAAACUCGCAUUUUGAAAAAAAAACUCAAAUCGCGUUUUAGUCUUAAAUGACAUCGUCGUAAACUUUUACAAAAAUCUUCUCCUCUGAAACUACUAGGCCAAUGUAAACCAAACUUGGCCUAAAUCAUCCCUAAGGUAUCUAGUUUUAAAAAUGAUGACCCCGCCCAUCAACCAAAAUGUCCACAAUGGCUAAAAAUAGAACAUAGGGGUAAAAUGCAGUUUUUGUCUUAUAUCUCUUAAACUAAAGCAUUUCAAGCAAAUCUCACGGGGUAAAACAGUUCAUCAGGUCAAGAUAUAUCUGCCUUGAAAUUUUCAGACGCAUCAGACAACCCGUUGUUGGGUUGCUGCCCCUGCAUUGGUAAUUUUAAGGAUUUUUUUUAGUUUUUGGUUAAUAUCUUAAAUAUUAUAAUAGAUAGAGAUAAACUGUAAACAGCAAAAAUGUUUAGCAAAAUAAGUUGUACAAAUAAGUCAACAUGAUAAAAAUUGUUAAUUGAACCCUUCUGGAGUUAUUGUCCUUUAAAGUAAAUUUUUCACAAGUUUUAGUAAAUGUUUGAAAUCUUUUACAAAAAUCUUCUCCUCCGAAACUACUGGGCCAAGUUAAACCAAACUUAGUCUAAAUCAUCCUUAGGGUAUCUAGUUUAAAAACUGUAUCCGAUGAACGCGUCCACCUACCAAGAUGGUCACUAUAUCUAAAAAAAGAACAUAGGGGUAAAAUACAGUUUUUGGCUUAUAUCUCCGAAACAAAAGUAUUUAUACCAAAUCUAACACGAGUAAAAUUGUUUAUCAGGUCAAGAUCUACCUGGCUUGAAAUUUUCAGACCAAUGAGACAACCCGUUGUUGGGUUGCUGCCCCUGAAUUGGUAAUUUAAAGGAAAUUUUGCAGUAUUUGGUUAUUAUCUUGAAUUUUAUAAUAGAUAGAGAUAAACUGUUAUCAGCAAGAAUAUUUAGUAAAGUAAGAUCUACAAACAAGUUAAAUACAAAAAAAUGUAAAUUUACCCCUUAAGUAGAUAUUGCCCUUUAAAGUCAAUAUUUUCACUAUUUUUUGUAAAUUUUGUUAUCUUUUACAAAAAUCUUCUCUUAAUCCACUUGACCAAAUGGAAUUAAACUUAACCACAAUUUUUAUUAGAGUAUAUUGAUUGACAAAUGUAUCUGAUGAUCCUGCCCUACAACCAACAUGGUCGUCAUGGGUAAAAAUAGAAUAUAGGUGUUUACUAUAGAAGUCUAUGGGAAAAAUGUAAAAAAAAAAACAAUUUCAAAUGGUCACAACUUGAAAACUAAUUUAAAUAAUGAUAAAGGGUCUUCAGUAACUAUUGUAAGACUACAAUGGGAUGACUUGAUUUUUUUCCAGGGGGAUGCAAUUUUUUCAGGGGGUUGGGGGGUUGCAAAUAACCCCUCCUUGAUAUGUUCCAAUUUCUGAAUUAUUCAGUGUUACUUUUUCUAAAAACCAAUAUUAUAUAUUUUCUUUCAGCAUACUUAUAUUGGGUAAAUGCCCCCCAGACCAGGCAGGUUAGUCGGGGUCAAGACCCUUGCUCAAUUUUGAUUUUGAAGGAUUUUAAAAAAACCAACAUUUAAAGGCAUUUCCAGCAUUAAACAGGCCCAGGGUGAAAUAAAUUUUAGAGCGGGAGAAAGGAAAUUUAGCAUUUUUUGUUAAUUAUCUUGAAUAUCAUUAUAGAUUUAGAUAUGCUGUAAACAGCAAAAAUUACAAGCAAAGAAAGAUCUACAAAUAAGUCAACAUGACCAAAAUUGGCAAUUGACAUCUUAUUGGAGUUAUUGUCCUUAAAAGUCAUUUUCUGCAAUUAAUUGGUAAUUUUUGUAGUUUUUAAAAAAAAAUCUUCUGCUUUUAAUUUAACUACUGGGCCAUAUUAAGCCAAAUCUGGCCUCAAUCAUUAUUAGGGUAUCUAUUAUGUUUUUAACCGUAUUUUACGUGAUUUCCAAAACCACAGUAGAUACAGGUGAGCGACAUAGGCUCUUGAGAGCCUCUAGUUUUGUAUUUAAAUUUUCAAAAAUCAAUCAAUGUUUUGUAAAUGUACAUGCAUACGUGUAUUUGCAUAAGAUCGAUUUUCAUUUCACACAGCUCAAAUGUUGAUAGAUAUAUUUCCAACAUAAUUUGAUAAUUGUUCAAAUAAGAAAUAAGAGAAAUAAAGAAAAAACGAACUUUAUAGUUUUGGCCUGAUUUCGGACUUAUACACUCUAAUUUUGUUUAUAUUUCAUCAAUUAUUUUGGGAAUAAUAGAAAAUUAAGUUUACUAGGACAGCAAUCAGAAGUAUAAAAAAAUUGAAUCAAACCACUAUACAAAGAAUAGCGAGUUUCGUUAUAUUGUAGGUGAGUUGCAUGGCUUGAAAGUAAUUUAGAAUUGAAAUUAUUUUUCUUCAGAUUUUAUUAAGGAAAAAUAUAAUGAAAUUUAUGAGUAACUAGUAUUUUCAUUAAGAAGUUUAAAUUUAACAGCAAUUAUUAAUUGUAUUAUCUAACCUAAAUUGUAUGUUGUAUUAUUUUGUUAUUUUUAACUUAUAUUAACUCUUAAAUUACUAUGAAAUUAUAUUGUAACUACUUUGAUGUUUUCUUUAUUAAAUUAAUAGCGAGUGUUUUGA